GACGCGGAACGAUCACUUUCGUCAGUCGUCGCCCUUUCCUCGCCCACUCCAGCUGAACCAGUGCCAAAACCACGAGCCCUCACAAAACCAGAGCAGGUCGCUGCUCCGCCGCCGCGCCAUGGCUUCGCCGUCACCCUCCUCGCCGCUCCACCCGCACCAGCACCAGCACCAGCACCCCCUUCCUCCGAAUGCUCACCCCCAAUUCCAAGCCCCGCCGCCUUCGAUGCCGCCGCCGCCGCCAGCGGCGCCACCCAAGGCGCUCGAUCUGGAGGUCACCGUCGUUUCCGGGAAGCACCUGAAGAACGUCAACUGGCGACGCGGUGACCUCCGCGCCUACGUCGUCGCCUACCUCGACCCCUCCCGCCGCGCCGCCACCCGCCCCGACGACGCCGGCGGGUGCAAGCCAGUCUGGAACGAGCGCCUCGUCCUCCCGCUCCCGCCCCACCUCUCACCGCACGAUCCCUCCAUCCUCCUGUCCCUCGACGUCUUCCACUCCAAGCCCUCCGACUCGCCCAAGCCGCUCGUCGGAUCCGCCCGCUCGCCUCUCCGCGACCUCCUCUUCCCCACAAACCCUAACCCUAGCCACGAUUCCGCGGCCUCCACUCUCGUCAGCCUGCCGCUCCUUCGCCCUUCAGGCCGUCCACAGGGAAAGCUCCGCAUCCGCGUUGCCAUCCGCGAGCGCUUGCCGCCGCUUCCUGAGCCGCAGUACCCGCUGCCUUCCAGCUCCCCAUACUACUUUCCACCGCCUCCGCCUCCCACCUACUCGGCCCCGCCGCAGUACGGAUCCGAACAGUAUUACCGUCCCAGUGGGUACUACUCAGCACCACUACCUCCGCCUCAGUAUGAGUACACCGGGGGACCCUCCGCACCGGUGGACUACAGCAGGCAGUAUGAGCAGAGAGGGAGGACCGGGGGCGGUGGUAGUGGGAGUGGGAGUGAGAGUGGAAGGUAUGGACUAGGCACUGGACUUGCGGUGGGUGCUGUGGCUGGAACCCUCGGGGGGCUAGCUAUCGAUGAAGGGGUGAAGUACAAGGAGGAGAAGGCUGCAGAGCGGGUGGAAGAGAAGGUGGUACCUGCUGGGAGGGAUGGUUACAGCGAGUAUCGUGGCGACUAUUGAAUGGGAGCUUGUGGUGGAGUGGACUUGAGGAUGCACUACGCAGCUACAUUGCUGGGGCAUAGGGUGCGACGAUGACAUCGUGGACCUCCUCAGCCGCCGGUUCAACCUCUCCUGCAUACCUCCUCCAUCUUCAUCCUCCAGCAGCCCAAGCUGGGAUGUCAUUAGGUUGGAGCAAUGCUGCAAGGCGUUUCUGUGUCAUGUUCCUCAAGAACAUGGUCAAGAAGCCCCCAAAUAUCUGAUCCUCUGGUUUGUUCAAAAUAGAUUUCUUCAUUUCGUCCUUCGUUCGUGCCUGGUAUAUGACAGAAGAACGAUAGAAAUGAGACAGAGUAAGAAAAAUGUAGAGUGUAUAUGCUAACAGGGUCUGAUCCUAUCGGUGCACAUGAAAUUGGUGACUGCAAGGUUAGGCAGAGGGAUGGUUCAGAGCUGCAGUCCUGUAGUAGGAGGAUGUUGCUUGAGCGCUUGCUAGGUGAGAAACAAUUUUGGCCUGAAUCCAAUUAUGGGCACGAAAAAAUAAUAUAAUAGCUUCAGUUAGAAAAGACUAAUGGGAAAAGAUGUUUUUUUUAGCAUUGUUGUAUCAUGUGAUUCUUUUGACACUGCAGGACAUGUAAGAACCAAAUAUUAUUCAUGGAAUUACUGACUCACCAUUCACUAAACUGCUUUGGUUAAAUGACUCUGCAAAGAUCAAUAUAUUCAUGAUUCUUUUCAGUACUUCUAAAGUGUGUUGAUGUUUUCAGUACUUCUUGCACUGAAGAACAGUCUUGGUUUUGGUUUAUUAUUAGGUUUUUUUCUUACCUUGCCUCCUCACCAUGACAACCUGUAAUUACUCUCCUGUCUUUGAGAAAGCAAAGCACCUGUUCCUAGAAAACGAUACUAUGUCUUUUACUAUUCCUAGAAGGUCCAAGAUUGACACUUCUGCUUUGUAGAAUUCUCUUUAUUUAAACAAAUAAAUAGUGCAUAUCAAACUCAGUAUAUAUGCAUGAGCAGAGUGCCACUGUAUCAAACUCUGAAUUUAGUAGAGAAAUAUUGAUUUGAGGGAAAUUGUGAUAUCUCUAGGUUGAACUUACAUUAAGCUUGGGCAAGCACCAAGUAUACAACCAGGUAUUCUGUCCCUGCAUCAAUGGCUGAGUUGCAGGAAUGAUUUGAUAGGAGACUAUUUUUUUGUUCAUUCUUUUUCCCCUUAUUAUACCUUUUGCUGAUAAGGUCAGUUUUUAUUUUUAUUUUUAGCAUGCUAAUCAUUUGUUGGUUGCUUAAUUCAGUUUGUACCUCCUUAAUUUAGUCCUUUUGCACCUCUGGUGGCACUUUUGGAUUCAUCGCUUCUGGCAUACAUGUUCAGAUCCUUCAAAUUCACCAUGUUAUUUUGGCUUGCAAACAACGGAACUGUUGUCCUGUGACCUAUAUUAUUUUGAGGGAUCUUUUUCUUCUCUUGAUCAUAGUUUGAUCCGUUGUCUUGUGACUUGUGAUUGGGCAUGCCAUGUGACAAUUGGUUUUGCCUAAAGAUAGUGAAUACAAGGACAUGUAGUGCACAGCGCACAUGGUUGCUGCUUGUGUCGGCUGUAGUUUAUAUCUUCCCUCUGUCAGGAACUUCUGUAAAGAUCUGGCUCACAGAAUUACUCUUAUGUUACUCUGUUUUUU